UUAAGCGACUAAGCGUACACGGUGGAUGCCCUGGCAGUCAGAGGCGAUGAAGGACGUGCUAAUCUGCGAUAAGCGUCGGUGAGGUGAUAUGAAUCGUUAUAACCGGCGAUUUCCGAAUGGGGAAACCCAGUGUGUUUCGACACACUAUCAUUAACUGAAUCCAUAGGUUAAUGAGGCGAACCGGGGGAACUGAAACAUCUAAGUACCCCGAGGAAAAGAAAUCAACCGAGAUUCCCCCAGUAGCGGCGAGCGAACGGGGAGGAGCCCAGAGCCUGAAUCAGUGUGUGUGUUAGUGGAAGCGUCUGGAAAGGCGUGCGAUACAGGGUGACAGCCCCGUACACAAAAAUGCACAUAUUGUGAGCUCGAUGAGUAGGGCGGGACACGUGGUAUCCUGUCUGAAUAUGGGGGGACCAUCCUCCAAGGCUAAAUACUCCUGACUGACCGAUAGUGAACCAGUACCGUGAGGGAAAGGCGAAAAGAACCCCGGCGAGGGGAGUGAAAAAGAACCUGAAACCGUGUACGUACAAGCAGUGGGAGCCUCUUAAUGGGGUGACUGCGUACCUUUUGUAUAAUGGGUCAGCGACUUAUAUUCUGUAGCAAGGUUAACCGAAUAGGGGAGCCGAAGGGAAACCGAGUCUUAACUGGGCGUUAAGUUGCAGGGUAUAGACCCGAAACCCGGUGAUCUAGCCAUGGGCAGGUUGAAGGUUGGGUAACACUAACUGGAGGACCGAACCGACUAAUGUUGAAAAAUUAGCGGAUGACUUGUGGCUGGGGGUGAAAGGCCAAUCAAACCGGGAGAUAGCUGGUUCUCCCCGAAAGCUAUUUAGGUAGCGCCUCGUGAAUUCAUCUCCGGGGGUAGAGCACUGUUUCGGCAAGGGGGUCAUCCCGACUUACCAACCCGAUGCAAACUGCGAAUACCGGAGAAUGUUAUCACGGGAGACACACGGCGGGUGCUAACGUCCGUCGUGAAGAGGGAAACAACCCAGACCGCCAGCUAAGGUCCCAAAGUCAUGGUUAAGUGGGAAACGAUGUGGGAAGGCCCAGACAGCCAGGAUGUUGGCUUAGAAGCAGCCAUCAUUUAAAGAAAGCGUAAUAGCUCACUGGUCGAGUCGGCCUGCGCGGAAGAUGUAACGGGGCUAAACCAUGCACCGAAGCUGCGGCAGCGACGCUUAUGCGUUGUUGGGUAGGGGAGCGUUCUGUAAGCCUGUGAAGGUGUGCUGUGAGGCAUGCUGGAGGUAUCAGAAGUGCGAAUGCUGACAUAAGUAACGAUAAAGCGGGUGAAAAGCCCGCUCGCCGGAAGACCAAGGGUUCCUGUCCAACGUUAAUCGGGGCAGGGUGAGUCGACCCCUAAGGCGAGGCCGAAAGGCGUAGUCGAUGGGAAACAGGUUAAUAUUCCUGUACUUGGUGUUACUGCGAAGGGGGGACGGAGAAGGCUAUGUUGGCCGGGCGACGGUUGUCCCGGUUUAAGCGUGUAGGCUGGUUUUCCAGGCAAAUCCGGAAAACCAAGGCUGAGGCGUGAUGACGAGGCACUACGGUGCUGAAGCAACAAAUGCCCUGCUUCCAGGAAAAGCCUCUAAGCAUCAGGUAACAUCAAAUCGUACCCCAAACCGACACAGGUGGUCAGGUAGAGAAUACCAAGGCGCUUGAGAGAACUCGGGUGAAGGAACUAGGCAAAAUGGUGCCGUAACUUCGGGAGAAGGCACGCUGAUAUGUAGGUGAAGCGACUUGCUCGUGGAGCUGAAAUCAGUCGAAGAUACCAGCUGGCUGCAACUGUUUAUUAAAAACACAGCACUGUGCAAACACGAAAGUGGACGUAUACGGUGUGACGCCUGCCCGGUGCCGGAAGGUUAAUUGAUGGGGUUAGCGGUAACGCGAAGCUCUUGAUCGAAGCCCCGGUAAACGGCGGCCGUAACUAUAACGGUCCUAAGGUAGCGAAAUUCCUUGUCGGGUAAGUUCCGACCUGCACGAAUGGCGUAAUGAUGGCCAGGCUGUCUCCACCCGAGACUCAGUGAAAUUGAACUCGCUGUGAAGAUGCAGUGUACCCGCGGCAAGACGGAAAGACCCCGUGAACCUUUACUAUAGCUUGACACUGAACAUUGAGCCUUGAUGUGUAGGAUAGGUGGGAGGCUUUGAAGUGUGGACGCCAGUCUGCAUGGAGCCGACCUUGAAAUACCACCCUUUAAUGUUUGAUGUUCUAACGUUGGCCCGUAAUCCGGGUUGCGGACAGUGUCUGGUGGGUAGUUUGACUGGGGCGGUCUCCUCCUAAAGAGUAACGGAGGAGCACGAAGGUUGGCUAAUCCUGGUCGGACAUCAGGAGGUUAGUGCAAUGGCAUAAGCCAGCUUGACUGCGAGCGUGACGGCGCGAGCAGGUGCGAAAGCAGGUCAUAGUGAUCCGGUGGUUCUGAAUGGAAGGGCCAUCGCUCAACGGAUAAAAGGUACUCCGGGGAUAACAGGCUGAUACCGCCCAAGAGUUCAUAUCGACGGCGGUGUUUGGCACCUCGAUGUCGGCUCAUCACAUCCUGGGGCUGAAGUAGGUCCCAAGGGUAUGGCUGUUCGCCAUUUAAAGUGGUACGCGAGCUGGGUUUAGAACGUCGUGAGACAGUUCGGUCCCUAUCUGCCGUGGGCGCUGGAGAACUGAGGGGGGCUGCUCCUAGUACGAGAGGACCGGAGUGGACGCAUCACUGGUGUUCGGGUUGUCAUGCCAAUGGCACUGCCCGGUAGCUAAAUGCGGAAGAGAUAAGUGCUGAAAGCAUCUAAGCACGAAACUUGCCCCGAGAUGAGUUCUCCCUGAGACUUAGAGUCUCCUGAAGGAACGUUGAAGACGACGACGUUGAUAGGCCGGGUGUGUAAGCGCAGCGAUGCGUUGAGCUAACCGGUACUAAUGAACCGUGAGGCUUAACCUU
rnacentral:rRNA from 1 species